rnacentral:tRNA from 2 species
GGGGGUAUAGCUCAGCUGGGAGAGCGCUUGAAUGGCAUUCAAGAGGCCAACGGUUCGAUCCCGUUUAUCUCCACCA